GUCAUUUAAUUAUUUCGGGAAUUAAAUCUUUUAUUUUUUAAACUAAAUAUAUUGAUCAACUAACGGUCAACAUAACUUCCAUCCAAAAUAGGGGCAAACGGUUCAUUCAGUUCAAAAAAGGAGGGGCAAAAACGAAAACCCUAAAAAGAAGGGGUAAAAUCAAUAUUAGAUUUGAAAAUCAGGGCAGGAAUGAAAUUGUCUCUUUAUUCAUCUAUAGUCCGCUAUUCACCAUUUCAGUCAUUCAAACAGAGAUGUUAUUACACCUGAAGAUUUCAGUUUUGAUCUGGAUGGAUGUCUCUGGGGGGGAUUUUACUUUGUAUGACAGAUGCAGUUAGCAACUCUUGACAUGUUUAGCACUGCAGGCCACUUCUCCUACACUGCAAUCCAAGUUUGAACUUUCGAGUACAUCUCAGACUUUUGUAGGGUCGCGUAAUAAUCGUCAAGUGAUAUGUGCAUCUUGGACUUUUACAAGGUCAUCAGCUGGCUGCCUACUCAGCAAUUAUCUGGUUAUCAUCGAUGGGUUCUAUAACAUAUUUUAAAGUUUUAUAUUGUUAGAAAAUAUAAAUUUGUAAAGUGUCAUUUCUUUUUAUGACUUUGUUGCAUCUUCGUGUACAGUGUAAGAAAAACUAAAUUUUAAA